rnacentral:sRNA from 1 species
UACUCCAAAUUUAUCCCGUGCUGCCAUG